AGUUCAAGGAGGAUAGCAACACAGAGAAAAAAAUUGUUUCCAAACUGAAAACUUCUGCAGAAAGUUCUCUGUUGUUGGAGAGUGAAGACAAAAUUCGGCGUAGUCUGAUCGAUCUUUUACAGAAUAUAGUUCUUAUCCAAGAUCCAGAAAAUCCAAAAGAUUUUUAUCCUCGUUUCAACCUUGAAGAUACCUCAAGUUUCCAGGCUUUGGAUGAUCACAGCAAGAAUGUUCUCAAAAGAUUGUAUUACGACUACUAUUUCCAACGUCAAGAGAAUCUUUGGAGGCAAAAUGCGCUUAAGACUCUACCUGCACUUCUAAAUUCAUCAGGGUAAAAAAAUCUUCAUUAAAAAUCAAAUCAUUCCUCUAUGUCUCAUGUCAUCGUCCCUGCUUGAUUAUCACUUUUGUGCUUUUCAUUGGAGCUAUUCUUCUUGAGAUAUAUGCUGUCAUUGUCUUACUUUCUUCAAGUUGGGUAAUGAAUUGGCUGAGCAAGCAUAAGAGAGAAAAUACAUAAAAAAGAAUAAGUGAAGUUUGCAAGAUGAUACUUCGAGUGAAUACAACUAUUUCACCAUCCGAGGUUAAAGGCGAUAGAAGCAAGUCUGUGCUGUUUGAUGCAUGUAGGCAUGCCAAAUCACUGCAGUCUCUAGAAACGGAGGAGAAUUGGUCGAAAGAAAGUAAAUGGGAAAUGAUAAGUAAUGUAUGGGUGGAGAUGUUGUGUCAUGCAGCAAGCCAAUGCAGAGGAAUGUAGUAGCGUGCCUACCAUUUUGUGAGUCAUAAUGUAAUGUU